CUCGUGAAUUCAUCUCCGGGGGUAGAGCACUGUUUCGGCUAGGGGGCCAUCCCGGCUUACCAACCCGAUGCAAACUGCGAAUACCGGAGAAUGUUAUCACGGGAGACACACGGCGGGUGCUAACGUCCGUCGUGAAGAGGGAAACAACCCAGACCGCCAGCUAAGGUCCCAAAGUCAUGGUUAAGUGGGAAACGAUGUGGGAAGGCCCAGACAGCCAGGAUGUUGGCUUAGAAGCAGCCAUCAUUUAAAGAAAGCGUAAUAGCUCACUGGUCGAGUCGGCCUGCGCGGAAGAUGUAACGGGGCUAAACCAUGCACCGAAGCUGCGGCAGCGAACGUAUCACCCAAGACAACUUUACGGAGUUGACGAUUGACGGAGCGAAGCGACGUCAAAGCGUUCAUUAAAGUCGAGUUGGCUUAGGGAUACGUUCGUUGGGUAGGGGAGCGUUCUGUAAGCCUGUGAAGGUGUGUCGUGAGGCAUGCUGGAGGUAUCAGAAGUGCGAAUGCUGACAUAAGUAACGAUAAAGCGGGUGAAAAGCCCGCUCGCCGGAAGACCAAGGGUUCCUGUCCAACGUUAAUCGGGGCAGGGUGAGUCGACCCCUAAGGCGAGGCCGAAAGGCGUAGUCGAUGGGAAACGGGUUAAUAUUCCCGUACUUGGUGUUACUGCGAAGGGGGGACGGAGAAGGCUAUGUUGGCCGGGCGACGGUUGUCCCGGUUUAAGCGUGUAGGUGUGUGUUCCAGGUAAAUCCGGUUCACUUUAACACUGAGGCGUGACGACGAGGCACUACGGUGCUGAAGCAACAAAUGCCCUGCUUCCAGGAAAAGCCUCUAAGCAUCAGGUAACACGAAAUCGUACCCCAAACCGACACAGGUGGUCAGGUAGAGAAUACCAAGGCGCUUGAGAGAACUCGGGUGAAGGAACUAGGCAAAAUGGUGCCGUAACUUCGGGAGAAGGCACGCUGACACGUAGGUGAAGUGAUUUACUCAUGGAGCUGAAGUCAGUCGAAGAUACCAGCUGGCUGCAACUGUUUAUUAAAAACACAGCACUGUGCAAACACGAAAGUGGACGUAUACGGUGUGACGCCUGCCCGGUGCCGGAA
rnacentral:rRNA from 1 species